rnacentral:tRNA from 1 species
GGUAAGGUGGCUCAGUGAUAAAGUGCUUGCUUUGCAUGCAUGAGGCCCUGGGUUCGAUUCCCCAGCACCA